UGUUUACAAACAGACGAGUGUCGCAAGGCGUCUCAAGUUAUCCGCUUUCUACCUAGUACCGUCCCGCUGUCGGUUGUCAGACGGUACGCCGUGCAGGGGUUAACGAAAAGUACACGUUACCUUUCACAUCGUUACCUAGAUCAAGCAUACUUGUUCGAGCUACAAGAAAGGGUAAAGUUUUACAUCUCGGUGUUCUCCUCGGCCUCUUCGUCGACUUUCGGCAACAUGUAAACACUAGGAAUCGACGGCACGUGAUCCUCGAGCUUCAAGAUCGGCUUGCAGUCUCUAGUGACGUCUACCUGAUUGAAAGAGUCCUUCAAGAUAUUGAUUUCGUUCUCGUGGGCGAACAGACUGGUAGGUGGUUCUGUUCCGCAUAUGUCGUUCUCGUCGGUGCCGUUCCUGUGGCACAGGUUGCCAGACGGAAAUUGUCACGAGGUCAACGCGAAAGGAUCCGUCGAAAGCUCGUCCACGCUCGGGCUGGCCUUCAUCGGCUCCGGCUUUUCCACCUGAUGGCUGAGUCUAUGGACGAUCUCGUCAUGGAGGAUGUUGAAGCACAUCGCGGCUUUCGAGAGAAUGCGACUCAUCUGGGAAAAAUCUGGAAUCUCUUUUGCAACGUACCCACAAAGGACCAGUCGUCCAACUUGUGCAGAGUAAAAGCGCCUGCCACGAUGUAGCAGAGCAUUGCGCUGAGACAAAUGCUGAUUGGUGCGAGUAUAGUAACGUUUGGCCUGUCACCGGAGCCAAGACUCGACACUUCGUCCUUUGGGCUGGCCUUAAUUUCCACUGUGCUCGUGAACGUUGACGCAUUUGCGCGGACAUAAAAGGGCUCCUGUAACUGCAAUUGCUGUUGCUGCUGAGCCAGUUCUUCCUGUUGCCUUUUCUUUCUCAUUCGUCUCUCCUUCUCCUGGGCCCAUGUCAAUUUAAAAGCAAUUUUAAGAUCGAUCUACGAAGGAAGUGCCAUCGCUUUCUCGUUCUGCUUCGCGAGUUAUCUUUCAAAAUCUAUGUGAACAAGAUCGAUGGGAAAUACUAAACUUCGCGUUCGGUUUCGCAAAGCCGUCAACGAAAAUAUGACAUGCAACUAUUCGGAGCUUGCAUGCAUCUAAGGGCGUUAAAAGUAGGAUUGUAUUUUUUAAAUUGUGGAUUCUUAUCUUUUCAUUUUACAUUUAAUUUUUAAAAAGUCUGAAAUAUGGGCUAGAUACAGCUUAGACAAGAUACUGAUAUCAUUAAAUUGACUUAUUUGACGAGAACUGUUACUCUGAGAAAAGUGUUUAUAUUCAUUGUCAAACAUAACAAUUUUUAGUAUUAACACAGAAUCGCAUUUACGAUUUUCUUGGUAGAAUUUUUAGGAAUAAUUCUUCAAGUAUAGUUACAUCCAUGUAAACAUAAUUUUGUUCUCUUAGGUGCAUGGAAUCCAUUAAACAAAAAGUCGUAAAAAAUUAUUACGCAAGGAAAAUUAAAAAUUGUGUAAAAUGUACAAAAUUAAGUUAAAAAUCGUAGUACUGUGGAGAAUACUUGUUCGC